rnacentral:rRNA from 1 species
GACGAACGCUGGCGGCGUGCCUAAUACAUGCAAGUAGAACGCUGAAGGAGGAGCUUGCUCUUCUGGAUGAGUUGCGAACGGGUGAGUAACGCGUAGGUAACCUGCCUGGUAGCGGGGGAUAACUAUUGGAAACGAUAGCUAAUACCGCAUAAGAGUAGAUGUUGCAUGACAUUUGCUUAAAAGGUGCAAUUGCAUCACUACCAGAUGGACCUGCGUUGUAUUAGCUAGUUGGUGGGGUAACGGCUCACCAAGGCGACGAUACAUAGCCGACCUGAGAGGGGGAUCGGGCAAACUGGGACUGAGACACGGCCCAGACUCCUACGGGAGGGAGCAGUAGGGAAUCUUCGGCAAUGGACGGAAGUCUGAACGAGCCAAGCCGCGUGAGUGAAGAAGGUUUUCGGAUCGUAAAGCUCUGUUGUAAGAGAAGAACGAGUGUGAGAGUGGAAAGUUCACACUGUGACGGUAUCUUACCAGAAAGGGACGGCUAACUACGUG